rnacentral:rRNA from 1 species
UACGUAGGGUGCGAGCGUUGUCCGGAAUUAUUGGGCGUAAAGGGCUCGUAGGCGGUUUGUCGCGUCGGGAGUGAAAACUCAGGGCUUAACCCUGAGCCUGCUUCCGAUACGGGCAGACUAGAGGUAUGCAGGGGAGAAUGGAAUUCCCGGUGUAGCGGUGAAAUGCGCAGAUAUCGGGAGGAACACCAAUGGCGAAGGCGGCUCACUGGUCCAUUACUGACGCUGAGGUGCGAAAGCGUGGGGAGCAAACAGGG